rnacentral:rRNA from 1 species
UACGUAGGGUGCGAGCGUUGUCCGGAAUUAUUGGGCGUAAAGAGCUCGUAGGCGGUCUGUCGCGUCUGCUGUGAGAACCCGAGGCUCAACCUCGGGCCUGCAGUGGGUACGGGCAGACUAGAGUGCGGUAGGGGAGAAUGGAAUUCCUGGUGUAGCGGUGGAAUGCGCAGAUAUCAGGAGGAACACCGAUGGCGAAGGCAGUUCUCUGGGCCGUAACUGACGCUGAGGAGCGAAAGCGUGGGGAGCGAACAGG